CACCAACGAUUGGCUUCAAAACAGCGCUUCAGAAACAGAUGUGUGACGUCACGGAUACGAAGUCCAUUAUUUAUACAGCCAAUGCUUUAGUCUUGUCUUGGACAUGUACCAUCUUUUUUUAAAGGCCUCUCACAAUGACCCCACAUUUUCUUAAUCUAAUUUAAGACUUUUCAAGGAUUUUUAGGAGUCCUGCCUACCCUCUAACUUUGUCUCAGAUUCCACACUGAAAAGUUUGUUUUGUAACACCACCCUUCCUAUAUCUGUAGUAUUUUACCUUGAAGAAGGGAACGCGUUUGCUUUCGUUGAAGACGAGGUUCUCAUCAAUGAAGGACGGCUCUGUGGCCAAGCUUUCAUUACAUGUACUCAGCUCGUCAUCGAGAGAGUCCUGCAGACAAAAAGGAACAAAGAGAAGAUGGAGCACAAAUUAACAAGGGUGUCAACCCAAUAGGAAGUAAAUAACUGUGCUCUAUCUGCCGUCCAAUCAGGGAGAUAAAAACGUACAUGAUCGACUUGACUGAGCUUGUCUUCCUCCUCUUCCUCUUCCUCUUCCUCUUCUUCCACAGCUGCCCGCAGCUCUUCUUGUUGCCUCCUCAGGCUCUCCAGCAGCUCAAUGCGGCUCUGGGAUUUCACCAGCUUCUUGGGAUACACAAACUCCCGACGCUGAGGGGUGGCACCUGAAGGCAACAGAGAAUUUAGUUUGUGAUACGGACAGAAAAACCAACAACUCAGUGGCUGAUCUUCAACAAAAAAAACACCCAGUUCAAAUCACGUACCAGUAGAAACAUCCUGCUGCAGCUCUUUCUGCAGGAAGCCGUUCACCAGCCCUUGGCUCGUCUCCACAUGGUCCUGCAGCUCAGUCUGCUGCUGGUCCAAGACAGUCCGGUUCAGGGAGGUCUGGUUCUGCAUGGCCAUCACAGCCUGCUUCAUCUCCUCCUGCUGACCGGACAGCUGCUGCUCGGCUGUCUGGAGCUGCUCAGUGCAGCGCUUCUCGACACUCUGGAGGGCAAAAUAAGAGAAAGGAUUAAAUAAAAUCAGAGGAAUUUCAACCUGAUGACACAUUUGUCACCAGAUAUAAUGAAGCAACAUGUUUAUUAUUCUACAUUCAACUGUAGAGGGUUGUUUUACCUGACGCAGUGCCUGAGCUUCAGUAGAAACUGUCCCCAUUAGAGAUAGGUGUUGCUCGGCUGUAGUCUCUGCCUGCUCCCUGGUUCUGGAGCUCCACUGAAGGUCACGAUCGGCCAAACCUGCACCAAAAACCAUGUUCACUGACUGUACUGUAGAUGUUCAAGGUUUAGAAAACAACUUCAAAAAGGUGAAUUUGGUACCUGACACGGCACCGUGCAGGUGAGAGCAGCAGCCCGUCAUCUCGUCCAGGGUCUGCAGGCUCUCGUCGGUGGUCUGACGCAGAGAGGAGGCCAGGGAAGAGGAGGUGGAGGAGAGGAGGUCUGCCUGGGCGGAAGCCCGACACUCCACUGUACUGCAACUACUACACACAGGAGACAAUGUGGAAAAUCAUACAAGAUUUAAGACUUCAGGAUUUGUUGUAUAUAGGACUGACCACACUUUUUCUUUUUUUGCAACCUGCAGCUGAGUGUUUGUAUCUCUGUCUUUGACUCACCUGCUAAUGUUCUCCUGGAGGGUCUGUAGAGGUUUCUGCAGAGCUUUGGAGGACGAGCGCAGAUCAGUGAAGUCCUUCUGAACCUCCAUGGAGAGCAGGUUAAGCUGGUCCUGCAAACACUGGAUGGUCUGCUUCAUACCCUGUUGCAUACAAGAACGAAAGGAUGUUAGUUUCAAUAAUUAAUUUCAAAGAUGGACAAAAAGAAACCAUAGACAUGGAAAUGCAUCAUGGAGCUGAAUAAUGGAUCCAACUAUCAAACACAUUUGAUUAGCGGACUCCUUCUUUGUUGGGAUUGUGUUUGUUGACUGCCAGACAGUGAAAUUAAAUAUCAUCAUUCGUUUUUUAUUAGCAAGUGGUGAUGAUAACAGAUAUUAAAGUUUCAGCCCAUCCAUUGUUAUGUAGAAUAUUGAAGACAUUUUAAUCAACGCACAAGAUACAGAAAACAAAGCUUGACUUUACUAGAUAUCACAUGUUUUGUCUUGUAAAACCAGCUCUGACUCCUUGUUUAUGACACUCUAAGCACUGUUUGCAGAACAUAGAGCUUCACAGCAGAACCAACAAUAGCUGGUACUGGAAUCAACUGACGAAUGGAAAUGCAUAACGUACUUUAAAUCAAUUUUGUGUUAAAUAAAAGUGCAUUCCUUGGAACUUAGCCAAGUCACAUUGUAGCACAAACCAAAUACAAAAUGUUUACUUUGAAUAGCCUUAAAAAUAAAAAACAAAAUCACAACAUCA